GCACCCUUAGUUUAAUGGAUAAAACGGCCGGCUCCGGACUGGGAACUAGGGGUUCGAUUCCCCUAGGGUGCA
rnacentral:tRNA from 1 species